CACGUAGGGUGCGAGCGUUGUCCGGAAUUAUUGGGCGUAAAGAGCUUGUAGGCGGUGUGUCGCGUCGGCCGUGAAAACCUGCAGCUUAACUGUGGGCUUGCGGUCGAUACGGGCAUCACUGGAGUUCGGCAGGGGAGACUGGAAUUCCUGGUGUAGCGGUGAAAUGCGCAGAUAUCAGGAGGAACACCGGUGGCGAAAGCGGCUUCCUGGUCCAGCACCGACGUUCAGGCACGAAAGCGUGGGGAGCAAACAGG
rnacentral:rRNA from 1 species